UACGGGGGGGGCAAGCGUUGUUCGGAAUUACUGGGCGUAAAGGGCUCGUAGGCGGCCAACUAAGUCAGACGUGAAAUCCCUCGGCUUAACCGGGGAACUGCGUCUGAUACUGGAUGGCUUGAGGUUGGGAGAGGGAUGCGGAAUUCCAGGUGUAGCGGUGAAAUGCGUAGUAUCUGGAGGAACACCGGUGGCGAAGGCGGCAUCCUGGACCAAUUCUGACGCUGAGUGAGCGAAAGCCAGGGGAGCAAACGGG
rnacentral:rRNA from 1 species